AUUGAACGCUGGCGGCAGGCCUAACACAUGCAAGUCGAACGAGUGGCGGACGGGUGAGUAAUGUCUGGGAAACUGCCUGAUGGAGGUGGAUAACUACUGGAAACGGUAGCUAAUACCGCAUACCAUCGGAUGUGCCCAGAUGGGAUUAGCUAGUAGGUGGGGUAACGGCUCACCUAGGCGACUAUCCCUAGCUGGUCUGAUAGGAUGACCAGCCACACUGGAACUGAGAAACGGUCCAGACUCCUACGGGAGGCAGCAGUGGGAAAUAUUGCACAAUGGGCGCAAGCCUGAUGAAGCCAUGCCGCGUGUAUGAAGAAGGCCUUCGGGUUGUAAAGUACUUUAGGCGGGGAGGCGUUACCCGCAGAGGAAGCACCGGCUAACUCCGUGCCAGCAGCCGCGGUAAUUC
rnacentral:rRNA from 1 species